AAACAGAAGAAAUUAUCAACAAAAAUAGAUUUACAAAGGUCAACAAAGCCUAAAUGGUAAGUCCACUGUUAAAAAAAAGUUUUAGCCCUUGAGUAAUGAUUAAAUAUUUAUUAAAAUAAGAUGUGGUACGAUAAAUGAGAAAACUAUCCAUCAGAGUUCAAUUAAGUGGAUGUAACCAUUGUAAUUACUUAUUAGAGGCCAAUGAUGACCUGUUAGUAAUUAAAAAAACUCAUACCCUAUACAUGAUAUAGUAAUCUAUAAAAGACAACGCUAACAAAAUUUGAAAUGAAAGCAUCAAUUCAAACUUCAAAUAUACCAGACUAAUUUAUAAAAAAACAAAAUAUUAUGAAAAACAAAAAUGACGGAUAUGAACCAACAUCAACCACUGAACUAUGUACAAGCUCCUGAUAUUGGACAGGCAUAAUAUGGCUGGGUUGAUAUAAAAAUAAGAAGCAGUCUGAUUUCAAAUAAGACUUUUCUCCAAUAGAGAUCAAAAUGACAUUUAACAAUGUUUAAGGAGGCUCGAGGGUAUAAAAUUUCAGAAAAAUAUUAAAUAUUUUUUUUUUCAUAACUAAUUUUAUUUAUAACUUUAUUAGUUUUUACUUUAUCAUAUGGUACAGAAAUCAUUCUAAAAAAUCAAUUCGUUUUGGCCCCAGACAACUUUUAAAAUGUAUAUAUCAUUGAAAAAGCUCCAAAUUAUCUCCCUUUGGUGCAGAAAUGCCAUUUUUUGGCAUGAGAAUUGUAAUAUCUUUUUUAGCUCAUCAGUGACCUAUAUUUUUUAUUAUCAUUUUUCAACUAACUUUACUUAAACUAAACUAUUGUAAAAUUUAAGCGAUUUCUGUAAUUAAGUUCUUUUUUCAUUUCAAAAUUACCUCUAUUUCUCCUAUUAGUUCAACAGAAAAAAAAGUACCUUUACAAAAAUGUAUAUAUGCUUCUUUCAAAGGCGGAUUGUGAGUGUGAAUGAAUGGUGUCCCCAUUUUUUUAAUUUAAUUUUUCUAUUUUUCUAUAAAGUAUAAGAUAAAGUUCAUUUAUAGAAAAAUAUAGCGUAACCCUAUAUUAAGAAAAAAAAAUUGAUUGAAACCUGCGAGCCCCCUUAAUUUAACAAAAAUAGUUCACUGUACAGCCUUUGACAAUGAGCAAAACGCUAUACCGGACAGUGGUUUUUAAUAACAGCACAACAUUUGAACAAAUUGUAAAAAUUUGUUGCAAUGGGCUUAACUCAAAAGACUGCAACAAGGAACCAAACAAUAACCAGUAAUAUGUAAAUCAUAGACACAAAGCACUGAAAUAAGAGUACUAACAAUAGAUAUUUAAAUGAAAGUUUAUUAAAAUGUUCAUAAACAUGAUAAAAUAGUCCAUUUUAUUGCUGUAUUUCUCUUCACUGAUAAUUUUUGAGUUUUGUGUAUUUGUAGGUCAGACAUCUCGGUUUUCAUGGUCAUCAUUCAACAGAUCAAUACUGAACAGAAAACUUGGAAGAUGAUAUUUUUCUCAACAGUGCGACUUUUUUUAUUAAUUUGAAAUGGAAUGUUUUUUUCCUACAUUUAAUAGAAAAAGGAAAUUUCAACAUAAUGACUAUAAACAAAAAGGAGUCAUAUCAUCACGAUCAUAGAUGCUCAAGAACUUGAUCAUGUAAAUGCAACAAUGUAAUUAUCAAUUGAAAGAAGGAACGAAUGAAAAAAAUAUUAGUAUGUUGUUGUCCAAAUAAACCUGCUUUGUCUUCUCAUUUGAAUCGCUCCAUCCAAUAAAGAUGUACCGAGGAGGAUCUUUGAAGAACAGAUUGAAAAAUGUUUUGUCUAAGAAUUGCAGGAAUAUUCUAGUGGAUGAAAUAAUUUAUUGACUUGACUCUUAUAUAGUGGACUGAAUAAUUGUACAUAGCAAGCAGCGAAAAAGAAAACUAAAACUUUAACACAAAAAGUGUUUAAAUUAUAAAUUUGCAAAUAUAAGCAUAAUAUUAUGUACACCACAAAGGUAUAUAAUUCAAAUUGUUUGCAUAUUCAUGUAUUGCAAUGAAACUAUAACAAAGAAAACCUUACUUCAUGAAAAGAGUAAACUAUUCAGUCAGAAUAUGAAAUAUUUUUUUCAGUUCUAUUUUUCAUUAUAAAAUAAACAAGAC
rnacentral:lncRNA from 1 species